rnacentral:misc_RNA from 1 species
AUCGAUGCAGACCCAUUUUUCAGGCAACUGAGAACGGAGUUUAUUCAUUUAAUCAUUUUCAACAUGUAAUUUUCACAAAUUAACAAAUCUAUUAACAAAUCUCAAUAGAAUGAUCUCUAACAUAAUAGAGUUUCCUCAAACCAAGAAAAAGAACCAUUUUCAGUAACCAAUCCAAACGCACUUCCACAUCCAUCACUAAAAUCGUCAUAAAAUAAAUAAAAAUCUUAAAAGGCACCACACAGACAUCAAAAUUUUCCAAUUCACCAUAAAUAAACAUCAAUCAACCAUUUUGUUUACAAGAAAGGUUCAUGAUAAAUAUGAUCCACAAAACAAAACCUCUAAAAUUGAUUAAAGUUAUUCACUAACACAGUCCAUAUCAGCUAAACUUCAACAAGCAUAAGCAUUAUGCCA